CUCUCCUGCGUCUGUUGUGAUUCAUCUGAAGAAAGAAAGGACAAAACACACAGAAAAACUCCUGCUGAAGCGACUGAUGUCCACGUGUUAAUAAAGAUGGCGUUUAUUAAAGAGGAGAGUGAAGACAUCAGGAUUGAGGAAGUAUUUAGUCUGAAACAAGAUACUGAGGAACAAACAGAGUCGAUUGAAGAAAAUGAGGAGACUGAAGAAAUGAGUGAAGUUGAGGGAAAAAAUCAUAUUAAAACUGGA